rnacentral:lncRNA from 1 species
GAACUUCACCAGUUUCUGUCAGCAGGGAAAGAGUGUAGCACUCUUGUGCUACUUCCUUAGAGUUGCUGGUCCCUGAAUGCUUGAUCACUAUUAUUAUACAGUGAUCUGAGAGACUGAAUGCUUUAUCACUAUUAUUGUACAGCCUAAGCAAAUAACACCACCAUAACCUGACCCAUCAUCUGACCCAUCAAGCCACACAACUGGGAACGCACAGCAGCUCUCCAUCAUUGAGUGGAAGUAGCAUAUAUGAGAUCAGCUUGAGAAGGACCUAAAGGUACAAACAAGUUGUAUAAGAAGUGGCUCAGACUCAGAAAACACUUUGUCUUACCACACUGACACUUCUCCUUCAACUGAUACCAAUGACUAGAUGGACAGUUGCCUAUGACCAGCUGACUGAGAAAGGAAAAUAUUCACAAUGGUUUCUAGAUGGUUAUGCAUUAUAUGAUGACACCAUUCAGGGGUCAACCUGAAAGUGGGUUUGGGAAGAACUUCAAGCACUGGACCUGAAAGAAGACAGAACCAGAAGUGUGGAUUUGCACUGAUUAUGAGCUAAUGUGUGAAUGCCAUUCAGCCUUUUUUUUUUUUUUUUUUUUUUUUGAGACCGAGUCUUGCUCUGUCACCAGGCUACAGUGCAGUGGUGUGAUCUUGGCUCACUGCAACUUCCACCUCCCAGGUUCAAUCGAUUCUCCUGCCUCAGCCUCCCAAGUAGCUGGGGUUACAGGUGCCUGCCACCACACCCGGCUAAUUUUUGUAUUUUUUGUAGAGAUGUACAGAAGCCUUCCUUUUUUUUUUUUUUUUUUUGAGAUGGAGUCUUGCUCUGUUGCCCAGGCUGGAGUGCAAUGGCGGGAUCUUAGCUCACUGCAACCUCCGCCUCCCAGGUUCAAGUGAUUCUCCUGCCUUAGCCUCCUGAGUAGCUGGGAUUACAGGCAUGCACCACCACGCCUGACUAAUUUAUGUAUUUAUUAGAGACGGGGUUUCACCAUGUUGGCCAGGAUGGUCUCGAUCUCUUGACCUCGUGAUCUGCCCGCCUUGGCCUCCCAAAGUGCUGGGAUUACAGGUGUGAGCCACUGUGCCCGGCCUCAGCUUCUUUUUGUAGCUUCUCUCAUCUUUGCUCAGUGGGAUCAAUGACACGGGCUUUCUCUCACCAAGACUGAUCUGACUACAGCCACUACUGAAAACCUCACAGAAACAGGUCAGUCUUGAUAUGGCAGAAGAAGAACACAGAACAGAAGAACAAGAAGUCUUAAUAUGUUUCCCAGAACAGCUGGCCACCUGACUGUACCCCUUCCAUCAUGAAACAGGCAGCAAUUUUUUCUUAUUGCAAUAGUUUUACUCUGCAUAUGGAUUUGCCUUUCUUGCCUGCAGUGCUUCUGCUAAAAUCUCAUCUCAAUUUACAGAAUGCCUCGUUCCUGUCAUAGUAUCUCACACUGCAUCACUUCUGACUAGAAAACUAAUUUUACAGGCAAAGUAACAAGGCAGUGCAACACCCAGAUAAUUCGCUGGCUCACGUACCCUAUCAUUCCAAAACAGCUUGCCUCUGUGGAUCAGCCUAGUGAAGACUCAAAUAUGGCACCUGCUGAAUGGUACUUUGUUGGCCUGGAGUGCUGUUUUUUGCAGGUUACAAUAUAUUUCAAUAUAUGAUGCUAUUUUUCCUAUAGGUAGAAUACACAGGUCUAGGAACUAAAGUUAGUGGCUCUUCUCAUGAUUACCCUUAAUGAUCCUGUAACAAAUAUUUGCUUCUAGUCCUCGCAACAUUGGGCCCUAUUGCUUUAGAGGUUUUCUAUUUCCAAAGAAAGACUGCUUCCAUCUGAGAACACAAGGAUUCCCAUGAAACAGGUAAAAAUUAUAAAAAGACUUUAAGCUCAAGGAAUUCAAUGAACAUAUCUAAACAUUCAAAUAAUAUACUACUUAUUUGAAUUCAAUUAACAUAUCUCAGCAUUCAAAUGAUAUACUACUUAUUUGAAUUCAAUUAACAUAUCUAAACAUUCAAAUAAUAUACUACUUAUUUGAAGAAUAUACUAGAAUUUAAUAGUCACAGUUUUGGCAAUUCACUAAUAAUCCAAAGGUCUACAAUAUAUACUUUAUGUGUCUAUAGUAAUUAGUCUUCCUUCUGGAAAAUGGUUUUCAAAUGACAGGUAAAACUGUAGUAAAUGCAGAAACGGCAUUUAACUUGUGGUGAAGUUCAUAUCAACACAGAACUUUCUAAAGAAAUAUGAUUCCAGAGAGUGCUAAAGUCUGAAUAAGCAUUUCUGUAUGAAUUUGGGGAUUCCCAAAGGUCUAUCUGGAUGCAUUUAUAAUUUUCAACAUCACUCAGUCCCGGACAUCUAUAACUACUUUUGGGAGAAGUAAUGUAAAUGAGCAAUUCUAAUCCAAGCUAAUCUUGAAAGAGAAGUUAGGAGACAAUUUUUCUUUCAUUCUGAACUUAUUUUAAAACACAUAAAAUUAAAACUAUAAAUAUUAAUACGUUUUGUUUCCUGUUUACUUUUUAAUUAUCAUAAUGAACAGAAUACAUAUUUCUCUUUAGCCAACUGCCGAACUGGCACUCAAAAUAUUGAAUUCAG